UCAAAAAAAUCCUGACACAGCCCACACUUCUCUCGUCCCACAGCCGCGACCCCCAACCCUCUCGCUCCUCCUCCGUCUCAAUCUCUCGAUCCCCGACCACCACCGCCGCCGUCCUUCGUCCUCUCCCCCAACCUCGUCCGCCUGCGACCCCUCCCCUCCCCUUCUCUCCCACGGCCGCGGUCGGAUCCGCGCUCCCUUCUCGCUCGUGACCUAGACCUAGCCGCAUGGCACGACCAUGGCCAUGGCGGCGGCCAGAUCCGCCCCCUCCCCUGCUCCGUUCCCUCGACGCCGGCGGUCAUUCUCCCUUAGGCCACCCGCCCCCCUUCCUCCUCCCGCAGCAGCUCACCCGCAGCCUUCCCCGUGGCUCUAGGGUUUUGGGGGCGGCGGCGCCUCCAUUGCCGGCAUGGCUCCGGUGACUCUACAGCCUCCCCCGACAUCUACCAAUCUGAGACAGCUGCGUCUCCGACUUGUCGCUUCCCCAAUGGCUGCUGCUGGACCGGAUCCCUCCUCUUUGCCUGGAUGCUUCCUCGACUCUCCGUCCUCCCCAACAAGGCCGCCGUCGGACACCUUCUUCCCCGACAGCGCCGGCCGCAGAUCCACUCCUCCAUUUUCUUCUCACGGUUAUCCGCAGCAUAUAUGACUCAGAUCUAACCUUUUUGUUGUGUGUCUGGUUUUUCAGGAUGUGGGUGGUGCAGUGGCCGCAAGAACACGAUCGGCAGCGUCUAGGUCGGGUCGACUAGGGCGGCUGACAGCGGUGGCUACUUCCUUACAAGGACUACAAGCUCGCCCACGACUACACGACCCUCCAGGUCCCAUCUGCAUGCUCGCUCCCUCCUCCCUGCCUCCUGCAUGUACCUGUUUAGGCCGCAAGCGGACUUGACAUGCUUAUGAGUUCAACAUAUGAGCUCUCUGACAUUUACCAUGCGCUGUGUUAUGUUCAGCAUCUUAUGUGUCAUGGAAAUGUCCUUGUGUUGCAUAGUAGGCCCUGAAUUAUUCAUGUUGUUGGCGAUGAGAUGUCCCUGUUUUGCUCUGUACUAUGCACUGCUAUAUUUAUAGUUUGAAAGCGUGAGUUUAAAAGAUGUCCCUGUUUUGCUUAUAGUUUGAAAGCUAUACUGGUCAGUAAUUUGGGGCAUCUCUUCUAAGUGAUGUUUAAUGUCUCCUAUAGUUGUUUUGUGUCAAUUCGACCAAGGAUUUUGUUAUCUGGAACUGUAACUGUUGGCAUAGAGACUGACUGUUGUGGCAUAGUGCGACGUCUCACAAGGUGGAUUCAGAUUUGGUUGUCACGAUGCACAAGUGGUGGGUGUAGUACCGUUGUGUUGUCCUUGUAUAUAAACAUCCACCAAAAGGGAUUGGCAUCUAACGUUAAGAAAUUAUGUCAAAACGUAGCUGGCAGGCUUUCUAUUUCAGGCCCCCAUUGUAUAACUGUUUAGGCUUUAAGCUGGAUGCAUCUCUGUGAAGUGUGGAUAUUGGGGCAGAGUUGGAUUAUCAUUAGCCAUGGACUUUGUAAAGAGUAUAUGUCCAUUUUGCCAAGACAAGGACUAAUUUUUUUUUCUACUUUAACUUGUUGAAUCAUCAGUAUUUGUUUCCACUCUUUAUAUUGAAAUCCACACAUAUUAGAAAGGAACAUCAUGUUAUGUGUAGAAGAGAGUCCUGGUUUUGAGAGGAAAUGUCGUGCGACUCAAGUACCGUGUUUAGAUGAUUGAUUUCUUUUUAAACUUGCAUUGUAUGCAUCGCAUUGGGCUUGCAGUCCAAAUGAGUGAUGAUGUCAUAAUGAGAUUUUGUCACUCACUUUGGGAUCAUCUAAUCUUUUUUAUUAGUGUUUGAUGAUGGCAGUUUCUUGUGUGUUGUCAUUGCACCCAAGUGCUGUUUCUUGGCUCUGAGCCGUUAGUUGAUUGUAUUCCUGGUAUGAGAAUCAAGGAAUUUCGAGGCGCAUUAGAAUAAAAAAAGCGGAAGGAAACAAUAGUGAAUUGAUGUGAUGAUGAGUCCAUUUUAGCCAAAAUAAUGUUGUCGAUAGUGACCACAGCGGGAUUUUAACAUAGUCCAUUUCAGGUUCCCUCUGUUUCAAAGUGUAAAUGUAUUUCUAUCAGUUAAAGACAAGCAAGUUAUAAGUAAUUAUUACGCUGCUGAAAUUGAAAUUGAAACUUGAAAUUGAAUUGAACUAGAUUAUUACAUCAAGCAAUGUACUCCAGAAUACUAUUAAUAACUGGAGUCAAAGAUGACUGCAUCUGAUUGACCUAGACUAUAGCUUAUUCCUUCAGCGUACUAUCGCUUUCUCAAGUCAACUCAAGCAACAAUUCAUGGGGCUCACUCAAUCGGGUGGGCGGCGCUAUCCAAUUCUAUUCUGAUUUCCUACUGAACUAUGUUGUUGUAGACUAUAAAAGAAGAAGCUGCAGUUGGUCAUGGAUUUAGAUUUGGCAUGUGUUUAUCUUGACUGCUCAGGGUGGACGAAUUGUAGUUUUAUGCAUGUAACUCAGUCUGCUUGGACAACACUAGCAUGUUACUAUGUACUACUACUGUUCAAGAAGUUUCAUGAGUUGCUAGUGCCGCACUUCUCUAGUUUCAUUGAUGGUGUUUAACAGUACUUGCCCUUGUAUCCUUUAUUCAAUCUCGGAUUUCAUCAUAAAUCAUAAUGGACUACUCUUCUGUUGAAUGUUGAUUGGCGCACUAUUCUGUUGUUGCCAAGUAGAGGAAUAAGAGGAUAUAUGAAGUUUACUAAUGAUGUUUCAUGCAAGUGGGGUUAUCCAAUGUUGGCAAAUCAACUUUCUUUAACAUAGUAACAAAGGCGGGCUCCCGCGCUGGCAACUCUAGGCUUGCGAUGAAGAAGAUCAAGGCUGAGAAGGACCCCAACAAGCCCACGCGUCCCCGAGCGCUUUUUUCAUCUUCAUCUGAGUCCCAGUCUCGGUUCCUGGUUCGAUUCAUGUUGCUUCUGUGGUGUGGUGUCGCGUACUGACCGAGGAUUUGGUGCAUGUUUCAUCUUUGCAGGGACAACUUCAGGAAGGAGUACAAGGAGAAUCACCCCGACAUCAAGAAGGUCUCCGUGAUCGGCAAGGCCGGUGGUGAGAAGUGGAAGUCCAUGAGUGAUGCUAUAAGUUGCACGUCUCCCCUCCCCUCUCUGUUACCGCUCAAUUGGGUGUCGGUUUACUCGUUUCUAUCUUAGUUUGCCUAGUGUUCGAACCAGUUGGUCAGUUAGAUUUUGAAUGGUAGUAGCAGCAAACUGAUUUUUAUCAAAUAUAUCUCUAUUACCGCUCAAUUCGGUGCCGGUUUUCCAAUGGCAGUAGCAGCACACUGAUUUUUAUCAAUUAUAUCUUAUGCGAAGUUUAGGCGUAAUGUGUUGCAGUGAAGUAUUUUGCAUGACUUGCACUUGUGCAAUUAAUAUUCAUAUUGUGUCUAUGUUUUCUUGUAUGAAUGAGUAUCUCAUUUUGACUAGCUGGAGAACGAAAAGCAUGGUACUAGCUGAAUUUCUGUUGUCAUUUUAAAUGACUGUCCUUUUUUGAAACCCUUCCUAAUUUGUUUGCAGCCCUUCCUAAUUUUUUGUUCUUGUUCUAUUUGGAAAUGGAUGCAGCAGGUGCUCUUCUCUUGCACACGUCUGGCACCGACUCCGGCGCGGUGGUGCUUCUUGAGGUGACUGGCAUGAUGGCGGUUAUGUACGGCGGCGACCACAAGCCCUCCGGUGAGUCGGCUCCAUCUUCUAGCCCUAGCUCCUGCUUUUCUGCUCCUGUAGCAUGCUCUGUUGGUUUAGAACACUAGCAGCAGUAGCCUACCAUGUAUGCGUACUAAACAGCAGGAGUUCAAUCACCUUGUGUACACUAGCAGCUUGCUUACACAGAUUUCACUUUUGCUUGUGGUAGCCAUUAUGUCGUUGAAUCAUGUCUGUGUACUAAUCAUCAGUUAAUAGUAUUUGGCUUCUACGUGAUGGUCUGGGACUAAUUUAUGGUGAUGUGGAUAUACUUUGUGAUUUAAAGUUACUAAUCUAUGGUCUGCUGUCAUAUUAUGGUCUAAUAUUUUUUGUUUUGACUCUUUCUCCGGUGCGAGGAAAGCUGUGAGUAGACGUUGAUGAUGCCAACUGGCUUGGCUGCUACCGUGAUGCAUGCGCCGUACAUGUCAGCAUAGUAGCAGAUAUUCCCUUUGUUCCUGCUAUAUUCAUGUGUAAAUGUAUUUCUGAGAUGAUUUUGUUGUGUUAUGUAAACCUGGGAGAUGUCUUAUGUGAUGUGAUAUGAUGCAUAAUUUCAAUUCGACAUGGAGUUUUCCUGA